rnacentral:lncRNA from 10 species
GGAGUGAAGCAGGGCAGAGUGGAGAGGGAGAGCAGCUGCAGAGUGGGGGUGGGCAUCAGCCGGAAGAGCCUCCCCGUCCUGGCCUGGCCACACCUCUGGCACUGCAACCUGGAGGCCAGCCUCACCUCCCAGUCCUGACCUGCCUGCCCCUGACAGUCCAGACCUACUGUGCAUGUCGCUGGGCUGCUGAGAAGCAUCUUGGGGGCUCAAGAUAUUUCUCUGACAAGGCUGCUGAGUGAAUUGAUAAGUGAUUUGGAAACAGACAAGGCUAGGUGGCAAGGAAAAACACUACUCUCCCAUCUGUCACCCUCUUCCUAAAAGGGAGCUUAAGACCUGCCUUCUCAAGGUCUCCGCCCCCUGCUUUAUCUUGCUGUCUGGAAGACAGAUGCUACCUCUUGGGCCUUGAGGACAAGACUCCACCUCUGGGAGCAACAAGAUAGAAGGAGCCUGGGCUCCUGUCACUGUGGAGCAACUGUGAUGCUUGGGUCACUUCCCUGGAUUUGUAGAAGCCACUGCCAUUUUUUUUGGCUUGUUUGUUGAUCAUUCCAAGCUAACUCCUAACAAAUAGAAUGAAAUCUCACAGGAGCCUGUGUAGAUGGCUUCUAAACCAGACCAACUGACAUAGGACCCUGGAAGAGCUUCUCUCUGGUUGCCCACCCCUUUGCUCCCAUCUCUCAAGCUGCUGUGGCUAGUGGCCAAGACAAACUUUUCUUCUCAAAGGUCAGUUCUUGGUCGAGUUUAGUCAUUAAAAUUAAAAUAUACAUUGGACCAACCCUCUAAUCAUCAGUCUGGCACCGAUGUUUGUAGAGUCAAUAAAUAUGCUGCCAUACAUUUAUUUCCUGUUCUCCCUCUCUUGGGUCACUUCUCUGGAUUUGUAGAUGUCACUGCCAUUUUGUUUUUUUUUUGUUUUUUUGUUUUUGUUUGCAAGGGUGGAGGUUGUAUGCUGAUUACCGCAAGCUAACUCCUAACAAAUAAAGUGCAAUCUCACAGGAACUCGUGUAGAUUGCUUCUAACCCAGGACAACUUACAUGGGACCCUGGGAGAGUGCUCUUUCACUAUUUCCCAGUAUGUGGUUUCUUC